CCUACGGGUGGCAGCAGUGGGGAAUCUUGCCCAAUGGGGGAAACCCUGAUGCAUCGACUCCGCGUGCAGGAUGAAGUAUUUCGGUAUGUACACUUCUAUCAGCAGGGAAGAGAAUGACGGUAACUGACUAAGAAGCCCCGGCUAAAUACGUGCCAGCAGCCGCGGUAAUACGUAGGGGGCAAGCGUUAUCCGGAUUUACUGGGUGUACAGGGAGCGUAGACGGUAUGGCAAGUCUGAUGUGAAAACCCGGGGCUCACCCCCGGGACUGCAUUGGACACUGCCGAACUAGAGUGUCGGAGAGGCAAGUGGAAUGCCUAGUGUAGCGGUGAAAUGCGUAGAUAUUAGGAGGAACACCAGUGGCGAAGGCGGCUUGCUGGACGAUGACUGACGUUGAGGCUCGAAAGCGUGGGGAGCAAACAGGAUUAGAUACCCUAGUAGUC
rnacentral:rRNA from 1 species